rnacentral:misc_RNA from 1 species
GGAAUAUUGGACAAUGGGCGAAAGCCUGAUCCAGCCAUGCCGCGUGUGUGAAGAAGGCCUUCGGGUCGUAAAGCACUUUAAGUUGGGAGGAAGGGCUCAUAGCGAAUACCUGUGAGUUUUGACGUUACCAACAGAAUAGCACCGGCUAACUUCGUGCCAGCAGCCGCGGUAAUACGAAGGGUGCAAGCGUUAAUCGGAAUUACUGGGUUUAAAGGGUGCGUAGGUGGUUAAUUAAGUCAGCGGUGAAAGUUUGUGGCUCAACCAUAAAAUUGCCGUUGAAACUGGUUGACUUGAGUAUAUUUGAGGUAGGCGGAAUGCGUGGUGUAGCGGUGAAAUGCAUAGAUAUCACGCAGAACUCCGAUUGCGAAGGCAGCUUACUAAACUAUAACUGACACUGAAGCACGAAAGCGUGGGGAUCAAACAGGA